rnacentral:tRNA from 2 species
GGAGAGUUGGCCGAGUGGCUGAAGGCGGCGGUUUGCUAAACCGUUAUAGGACCUUAAAGUUCUAUCGGGGGUUCGAAUCCCCCACUCUCCGCCA